UCCGCGGUGGUAUAGUGGCAGCACGCGUCACCUGUAUUGGUGAAAUGCGGGUUCAACUCCCGUCUGAGAUCGAA